rnacentral:rRNA from 1 species
AUACGUAGGGGGCGAGCGUUGUCCGGAAUGAUUGGGCGUAAAGGGCGCGUAGGCGGCCCGGUAAGUCUGGAGUGAAAGUCCUGUUUUUAAGAUGGGAAUUGCUUUGGAUACUGUCGGGCUUGAGUGCAGGAGAGGUAAGUGGAAUUCCCAAUGUAGCGGUGAAAUGCGUAGAGAUUGGGAGGAACACCAGUGGCGAAAGCGACUUACUGGACUGUAACUGACGCUGAGGCGCGAAAGUGUGGGGAGCAAACAGGAUUAGAUACCCUGGUAGUCCACACUGUAAACGAUGAAUGCUAGGUGUAGGGGGUAUCGACCCCUUCUGUGCCGCAGUCAACACAAUAAGCAUUCCGCCUGGGGAGUACGGCCGCAAGGUUGAAACUCAAAGGAAUUGACGGGG